rnacentral:rRNA from 1 species
GACGAACGCUGGCGGCGUGCUUAACACAUGCAAGUCGAACGGAAAGGCCCUGCUUUUGUGGGGUGCUCGAGUGGCGAACGGGUGAGUAACACGUGAGUAACCUGCCCUUGACUUUGGGAUAACUUCAGGAAACUGGGGCUAAUACCGGAUAGGAGCUCCUGCUGCAUGGUGGGGGUUGGAACGUUUCGGCGGUUGGGGAUGGACGCGCGGCUUAUCAGCUUGUUGGUGGGGGAGUGGCUUACCAAGGCUUUGACGGGUAGCCGGCCUGAGAGGGUGACCGGCCACAUUGGGCCUGAGAUACGGCCCAGACUCCUACGGGAGGCAGCAGUGGGGAAUAUUGCACAAUGGGCGGAAGCCUGAUGCAGCAACGCCGCGUGCGGGAUGACGGCCUUCGGGUUGUAAACCGCUUUCGCCUGUGACGAAGCGUGAGUGACGGUAAUGGGUAAAGAAGCACCGGCUAACUACGUG